rnacentral:rRNA from 1 species
UACGGAGGGGGCUAGCGUUGUUCGGAAUUACUGGGCGUAAAGCGCACGUAGGCGGCUUUGUAAGUUAGAGGUGAAAGCCCAGGGCUUAACCCUGGAAUUGCCUUUAAGACUGCAUCGCUAGAAUCGUGGAGAGGUGAGUGGAAUUCCGAGUGUAGAGGUGAAAUUCGUAGAUAUUCGGAAGAACACCAGUGGCGAAGGCGACUCGCUGGACACGUAUUGACGCUGAGGUGCGAAAGCGUGGGGAGCGAACAGG